ACUCUUGACUCCCAGGCUUGUAUUGCACACAUGGUGAUCUGAUGUUUGCUCUAUUUUCUAUUGCAGGAGGUUGUGGCCCUUUGCUGUUGCAACUUUACGUGCAGCCAUUUGCGUCACAUAAAAAUGGGAAGUAGAUCUAGACUUGUUCCAAGAGAAGACCGACACAAACUGAGCAUCUCCUCUGUGCCUCAGUCACGAGGAGCAAUGUCCCUUGGUGCUGCCUUAAAGGCUCCCUGCAGAGACUCAACCACCCCAAACCUGGCAUCCCUUUGCUGCUGCUCGGUCGUGGGCCCUGCAGCUGGUUGGGAUCAUGCUCCAGAGCUCAGCAUUAUGCUGAGCAGCUGUUCUUGA
ensembl:lncRNA